rnacentral:rRNA from 1 species
AGGAGGGUGCUAGCGUUAAUCGGAUUUACGAGGGCGUAAAGCGUGCGUAGGUGGUUGGGUAAGUCGGAUGUGAAAGCCCUGGGCUUAACCUGGGAAUUGCAUUCGAUACUGCUCGACUCGAAUUCGGUAGAGGGAGGCGGAACUCCAGGUGUAGCGGUGAAAUGCGUAGAUAUCUGGAAGAACACCGAUGGCGAAGGCAACCUCCUGGGCCUGAAUUGACACUGAGGCACGAAAGCGUGGGUAGCAAACAGGAUUAGAUACCCUGGUAGUCCACGCCGUAAACGAUGAGAACUUGACGUUGGUUUGCCUAGCAAAUCGGUGUCGUAGCUAACGCGAUAAGUUCUCCGCCUGGGGAGUACGGCCGCAAGGUUG